rnacentral:rRNA from 1 species
CCUUAGUUGCCAUCAUUUAGUUGGGCACUUUAAGGAAACUGCCGGUGAUAAGCCGGAGGAAGGUGGGGAUGACGUCAAGUCCUCAUGGCCCUUACAGGCUGGGCUACACACGUGCUGCAAUGGCAUCUACAGUGGGCAGCUAUCCCGCAAGGGUGAGCUAAUCUCCAAAAGAUGUCUCAGUUCGGAUUGUCCUCUGCAACUCGAGGGCAUGAAGGCGGAAUCGCUAGUAAUCGCGGAUCAGCAUGCCGCGGUGAAUACGUUCCCAGGCCUUGUACACACCGCCCGUCACACCAUGGGAGUUGGAUUCACCCGAAGGCAGUGCGCUAACCGCAAGGAGGG